GAUCUAUUUUCGAGAGGGAGACAAGACAUUAGAUACAAAUCACAGGAGCAACAGGACUCAAGCAGUAGACUCAGAGAUCCAAGUAUGAUAAAAGCUGUGCUGAUCAUUAACACCCAAGGCAAACCUCGCCUUACCAAAUUCUACGAUUUUUUGACUGUAGAGAAGCAGCAAGAACUUAUACGCAGUGUAUUUGGAGUGUUAUGUAGUAGAGCUGAUAAUGUUAGCAAUUUCAUGGAGGCUGAUUCAAUCUUUGGCCCAGUAAUUUUUCUUGUUUGUUUCGUUUUGGAAUCUUGAUUUGAUAUACUUGAGGUUGAUCGUCUUUGCAUUUGAGAAUUUCUAUGAUUUUCUUGUUCUACGUGGGCAGGGUAGUCGUCUUGUGUACAAACAUUAUGCAACAUUGUACUUUGUCUUUGUGUUUGAUAAUUCUGAGAAUGAGCUUGCGAUGCUUGAUCUCAUACAAGGCUGCUUUAUGGUCUAAAGAUUUGUUGUCAUUUGAAGUGGGUAUUUUUUUUUUUAGAUAAUCACAAGGCUGUUGCUCAUUUAACCCUUGAAACUGUACGGUCGAUAGCUUUUAGCACCUUUUUUAAAUUGUUAUUUACUUUUGGGAUCCUUUUAACCUGUGUUAUGAAGGACAGAAGAUUAAGUUUAUCAGUUAUGUUCCAUCUGAUUAUAUAAAUAGUGUGCAGGUCAAUUCUUGUCACAAAUGUAAGUGCUUCCUUUGUUUUAUUAUUUCAUUGCUUGGCGGAUUUUGCUAAUGUGAACCCUCCUGCCUUCAGUUUUUGUGGAAAUACUGGAUAAAUGCUUCAGGAAUGUAUGCGAGUUUGAUGUAGUUUUCAAUUACAGCAAGCUCCAUACUAUUUUAGAUGGGAUAAUUUUUGAAGGUCAAGUGUUGGAAACAAGCUCUGCAGAAGUUACAAGGGCUGUUGAAGAAAUAUCGAAGUUAGAAGCAGCCUCAAAUUCUAUCUCAUUAGUCGCCAAAACAGUUUCUGGUUGGCGUCGCCGGUAAUCCACUCAUUAGAACGAUGUUGGAAUAACAACGGGUGCACUCUUCAUAAUGCUAUUGUGGCAGUCAAACUCGAAGUGUUUCCUAAGUGUUGUAUUAAUUAUGCAAGCUCUUACAGUAUUUGGAGUUUGAUGCACUAGCAAUUCUUUCAAUGCUACAAAGAGAACUUCAAAAUCAAGAGUUCUACACUA